GGCUGGAGCGGAGCCCGGGCGCGCAGAUCCUGCUCGGCUCCCCCCGCCGGUGCCGGGAGCCCCGAGAGAGGUUCGGCCCCAGCCCCGGGCUGUCAGGGCGCCCGCCCGCCAGCGGGACCGGUCCCCGUGGCCGCUCCGGCGGGUCCUCUAGCAUCUACAGUGCUGGCUCUGCCUCCAUGUGAUGGCCCACUAUGCUGCUGACAUCACAGCCACCCUGGGACUCCAGCUGGAGCAUGGAACCAGGCUACGGAGAGGUCAGAUUUACCUCCUGCGCAUUUGUAGUGGAGACUUCAGUAAUUCCUGCUAUCUGGAUGCUACCCCUAGCAUCCUCUCUGAGGUCUAGGAAUCCAGAGGAUGGAUUCAGGAGGUCACGGAUCACUUCGUUAUAAAUCUGAAGGUGGAAGAGAAAGAGGCACCAGCACUUAAGCCCCCGGGGUUCUCCUUCCAAGAAACCAUCAGCUACUACCUCAGCUGUAAACUCACCCAUGCUGCUCUGCUCCAGCCUCACCUGGUCACCCAC